rnacentral:miRNA from 8 species
AUGUUCAGAUGCCCGUACUGUC